UUCCGGUUGAUCCCGCCGGACCCGACUGCUAUUUGGGUGAGGAUAAGCCAUGCGAGUUGAAUGGGAAACCUAAAGUUCCCAUGGCAAACUGCUCAGUAACACAUGAUCAACUUACCCUAUAGAGAAAAAUAACCUCGGGAAACUGAGGAUAAUGUUUCAUAGUUGAAUUGGCUUGGAAAAGUUUUUCGACGAAAGGGGUAAAAAAAAUGGUUUUUAUCUGCUAUAGGAUAGGAUCGUGUUCGAUUAUGGUUGUUGGUGAGGUAAUGGCUCACCAAGCCGAUAAUCGAUAGGGGCCGUGAGAGCGGGAGCCCCGAGAUGGGUACUGAGACAACGACCCAGGCCUUACGAGGCGCAGCAGGCGCGAAACCUCCGCAAUACACGAAAGUGUGACGGGGUUACCCAAAGUGUUCAAUAGAACUGUGGUAGGUGAGUAAUGUUCCCUACUAGAAAGGAGAGGGCAAGGCUGGUGCCAGCCGCCGCGGUAAAACCAGCUCUUCAAGUGGUCGGGAUAAUUAUUGGGCUUAAAGUGUCCGUAGCCGGUUUAGUAAGUUCCUGGUAAAAUCGGGUAGCUUAACUAUCUAUAUGCUAGGAAUACUACUAUACUAGAGGGCGGGAGAGGUCUGAGGUACUGCAGGGGUAGGGGUGAAAUCUUAUAAUCCUUGUUGGACCACCAGUGGCGAAGGCGUCAGACUGGAACGCGCCUGACGGUGAGGGACGAAAGCCAGGGGAGCGAACCGGAUUAGAUACCCGGGUAGUCCUGGCCGUAAACGAUGCAUACUAGGUGAUGGCACGGCCAUGAGCCGUGUCAGUGCCGUAGGGAAACCGUUAAGUGUGCCGCCUGGGAAGUACGGUCGCAAGGCUAAAACUUAAAGGAAUUGGCGGGGGAGCACCACAAAGGGUGAAGCCUGCGGUUCAAUUGGAGUCAACGCCGGAAAUCACUAGUGCGGCCCGCCUGCAGUCGACCAUAUGGGAGAGCUCCCAACGCGUUGGAUGCAUAGCUUGAGUAUCUAUCAGUGUCACCUAAAUAGCUUGGCCGUAAUCAUGGUCAUAGCUGUUUCCUGUGUGAAAUUGUUAUCCCGCCUCACA
rnacentral:rRNA from 1 species